rnacentral:rRNA from 1 species
GCCAGACUCCUACGGGAGGCAGCAGUGGGGGAUAUUGCACAAUGGGGGAAACCCUGAUGCAGCGACGCCGCGUGGGCGAAGAAGUAUUUCGGUAUGUAAAGCCCUAUCAGCAGGGAAGAAGAAAUGACGGUACCUGAGUAAGAAGCACCGGCUAAAUACGUGCCAGCAGCCGCGGUAAUACGUAGGGGGCGAGCGUUAUCCGGAUUCACUGGGUGUAAAGGGAGCGUAGACGGCCAUGCAAGCCAGGGGUGAAAGCCCGGGGCCCAACCCCGGGACUGCUCUUGGAACUGCGUGGCUGGAGUGCAGGAGGGGCAGGCGGAAUUCCUGGUGUAGCGGUGAAAUGCGUAGAUAUCAGGAGGAACACCGGUGGCGAAGGCGGCCUGCUGGACUGCAACUGACGUUGAGGCCCGAAAGCGUGGGGAGCAAACAGGAUUAGAUACCCGUGUA